AAUUAAAAUAUAUAUUGUUUAUUAGUACAGUGAUACAGAUUACUGAAUGUAAUUUUGGCUGGUUAAAUGGUACGACUUUGUACUUAUUGCUGUUGGGAAUGACUUUGUACUUCAGAGGGAACAAAUCUGACCCUGUAAAGACCAAUAUUGUACCUUUGAGGGUACAAUUAUGAAGAGUGUACCUUUUGAGUACCAAAAAAGUACUCAUAUCGUACCUCUGUUUUUUAGAAUGUUUACGUUAAACAUCCACCGUCAGAAACACUCAACUAAGUUGUGUUUCCAGUUUCUAUGAAGACAUUCUGACAUUCCUAACAUUUCAUGCUGUCAGACAGCCGUUGCUCCUCCCCUUUCAACCUCUAAAGAGAUUUUGAGAAUGUAAUGCUGUGGAACUAAACCAGUUUAUCUGGCUUAAAUAGAAAGUAUUUUCUGUGGCGUCGUUGGAAAGAGGAUCAAGACAUUACAAGAAAUGUCCUGAAAGGUAAUAAUUUUAAAAACACUGAAUUUACUUUGAUGGAAUAAUAUUUUAAUGUUUUAAAAAUAUCUAAGUGGAGUCAGUUGAACUCAUUUGUGUGUGUGUGUGUGUGUGUGUGUGUGUGUGUGUAUGUGUGUGUGUGUGUGUGUGUGUUUUCAGUAUCGUGUGUAAUCUGAAUGAGGAAGAUGAGCUCCAAAAUGAGUGUUUCUGAGGUACAGGACACAGAGGAAGCUGAGAGACUGUUUCAGGGUAGGAGAUCUGACUCUCCUGAACCCAGCUGUGUGUCCAUGAAGAGUGAAGAGUCAAUGGGUAAAUACAUGACCUUCAGAGAGGAUAACAGUGAGAUUCAGACUCAGAGAGAGCCAGCAGACUCUCCUGAACCCAGCUGUGUGUCCAUGAAGAGUGACAGGUCAAUGGGACAGUACAUAACCUUCAGAGAGGAUAACAGUUCUCCUGAACUGAGAAUCCAGCAGGAGGAAUUACACACCGGCAGAAGAAAUAUGGAGGCCAUUUUAAAGGAGAUGGAGCACAGAGUUAUCUCUCUGGUAAAGAAGCAGCUGAAGAGUUUUGCGAAGAUCCUGAAGAGUCUGGAUUACCCAGCAUGCUCUGGGAGAGAGGUGGAGGAUGAAGAGGAUCAGAGCGAUGUCAGAGAGGGGGCACUGAAGAUCACACUGCACGUCCUGAAGAACAUGAACCAGACAGACCUCACUAACACACUGCAGACCAGUAAGAGAUCAGGGUCAUAUAGGGCUGGGUGAUAUUGAGUGAUAUUCAGAGUAGAUUAUUAAA
rnacentral:lncRNA from 1 species